GUGAUAUAUCUCUGUCAACAGUGGUGAGGAUUGUCAUGGUGAUGUCUUCAGUGGCAGAAGAUGUCUGAAAAUAAAGCAGAGAAAUUCAAGCAUCAUUUAUUGAAUAGCAAGAAUAUACUCAGUUGGGAAUCUUCAUUUCUGCUGCAGAACCAAUUUUGUAGCACUGCCUUUCAGAGCUGAUCCAACAGUUACUAGCAAUGUUGCUUAAUGAAUGUAUGUUGACUAGGGACAGGAGAAAGAUAACAGAAAAGAAGUUCCCAUGCUCAUAACUAGCAGGAAGCCCAACUGGCAAAUAUCCUUGGACAAUAACACCUUGGGGGAAACAGCUCAACUGGAAUAUAACUGGACACCAAUAUGUAUCACAUCAUGAAACAGAUAAAUAAAAACAGAUUUAAAA